rnacentral:rRNA from 1 species
GACGAACGCUGGCGGCGUGCUUAACACAUGCAAGUCGAACGGGCCUGUCUUCUUUUUUGGGGGGUGGGUUGAGUGGCGAACGGGUGAGUAUCACGUGAGUAACCUGCCCUUCGGUCCUGGAUAACCGCUUGAAAGGGCGGCUAAUACGGGGUGGUCCGGUUGGUCCGCAUGGGCUGGUCGGGAUAGAUUCACUGUUUUUGGUGUUUCGGCGGGGGAUGGGCUCGCGGCCUAUCAGCUUGUUGGUGGGGUGAUGGCCUACCAAGGCGGUGACGGGUAGCCGGCCUGAGAGGGUGGGCGGCCACACUGGGACUGAGAUACGGCCCAGACUCCUGCGGGAGGCAGCAGUGGGGGGUAUUGCACAAUGGGCGGAAGCCUGAUGCAGCGACGUCGCGUGAGGGAGGGAGGCCUUCGGGGUGUGAACCUCUGUUUCCGGUGGUGAAGGCCCUGUCCGUGUGGUGGGGUUGACGGUAGCCGGGGAUGAAGCGCCGGCUAACUACGUG